GAUGAACGCUGGCGGCGUGCUUAACACAUGCAAGUCGAACGGAAAGGCCCAAGCUUGCUUGGGUACUCGAGUGGCGAACGGGUGAGUAACACGUGGGUGAUCUGCCCUGCACUUCGGGAUAAGCCUGGGAAACUGGGUCUAAUACCGGAUAGGACGAUGGUUUGGAUGCCAUUGUGGAAAGUUUUUUCGGUGUGGGAUGAGCUCGCGGCCUAUCAGCUUGUUGGUGGGGUAAUGGCCUACCAAGGCGUCGACGGGUAGCCGGCCUGAGAGGGUGUACGGCCACAUUGGGACUGAGAUACGGCCCAGACUCCUACUGGAGGCAGCAGUGGGGAAUAUUGCACAAUGGGCGCAAGCCUGAUGCAGCGACGCCGCGUGGGGGAUGACGGCCUUCGGGUUGUAAACUCCUUUCGCUAGGGACGAAGCGUUUUUGUGACGGUACCUUGAGAAGAAGCACCGGCUAACUACGUG
rnacentral:rRNA from 1 species